AACGUAGGACGCAAGCGUUAUCCGGAGUUACUGGGCGUAAAGCGCGGGCAGGCGGUCGGGCAAGUGGGGUGUGAAAUCUCCCAGCUUAACUGGGAGAGGACCAUUCCAAACUGCUUGACUGGAGGGCAGUAGAGGUAGGCGGAAUCCGGGUGGAGUGGUGAAAUGGCGUAGAGAGUCCGGAAGGAACACCCAGAGGCGAAGGCGGCCUACAUGGGCUGCACCUGACGCUGAGCCGCGAAAGCUAGGGGAGCGAACGGGA
rnacentral:rRNA from 1 species